GUUGCUUCUUGUGCUUGUCCUCAAUCUGGCAACCCGCGUAAACGUCGAGUCUGCGGAGGAGGGGGCGGGGGCGGGAAACAAUGCUCUCCAAAAUUUUGAAUUUGGAAUGCAGCACCCAUUUCAACCGUUGGUUAUCAAUAGUACCGCGGCACCUUUGAGAUUUAGCAUUUAGCGUUAUAGCCUACUUACACUUCACCAUCUGUGGUUGAAACAUAAAAAUACGUUAUUUUACGUCAGUUGUGUUUCUGCGAUAGUUUGCGUAGUUUCCAUAGUUACCAGUAAUCGCCAUAUCAGCGCGGAUCUGUCACCAGACUGUGCGAAAAUUUUCCAAUAAAUCGUAUAAAACAAAAAAGACAUCAUCAGAGCAACACCUGGGACAUCAGGCACACCAGGAACGGUCUCUUUCCCAGAGUGCCGCGCAGCAGUGCCCGCCUAGCUUUGGCACCUCAGCUGUCAGCCCGCUCUGCUGAUGAGGAGAAUGUGUGGGGCGAUGAAGUCGAUAAUGAAGCUUUUGAUGCAAAAAAAGGAAGAAAAUUCUAAGAAUAUCUUCAUUUCCUGAAUCCUUUAUGUCUGUUCCACCUGUCACAAAAGUCCUGAAUGGUUGAGAGCUAAAGAGGCCUGUGGCAAUAGGAUGCAUGAAUGAGAUUGGAUUGGAUGGUCAAAAACUGACCCGUUUCUCUGGGUAAUUAGACAUUUUGAAAAUUCGAAAAAAAUGUAAAUAAAAAAGUAAUGAGCUAUUAGCA
ensembl:lncRNA